UACGGAGGGUGCGAGCGUUGUCCGGAAUCGACUGGGGCGUAAAGGGCGCGUAGGCGGCCUGAUAAGUAGGGGGUGAAAUCCUGCGGCUUAACCGCAGGGCUGCCUUCUAGACUGUCAGGCUAGAGCACAGUAGAGGCAGGUGGAAUUCCCGGUGUAGCGGUGGAAUGCGUAGAGAUCGGGAAGAACAUCAGUGGCGAAGGCGGCCUGCUGGGCUGUUGCUGACGCUGAGGCACGAAAGCGUGGGGAGCAAACAGG
rnacentral:rRNA from 1 species